AACGAACGCUGGCGGCAGGCCUAACACAUGCCAGUCGAGCGAGGACUUCGGUUCUAGCGGCGGACGGGUGAGUAACGCGUGGGAAUGUGCCCUUCUCUACGGAAUAGCCCUGGGAAACUGGGAGUAAUACCGUAUACGCCCUAUUGGGGAAAGAUUUAUCGGAGAAGGAUCAGCCCGCGUUGGAUUAGGUAGUUGGUGGGGUAAUGGCCUACCAAGCCGACGAUCCAUAGCUGGUUGGAGAGGAUGAUCAGCCACACUGGGACUGAGACACGGCCCAGACUCCUCCGGGAGGCAGCAGUGGGGUAUCUUAGACAAUGGGGGCAACACUGUUCCAGCCGUGCCGCGUGAGUCAUGAAGGCCUUAGGGUUGUAAAGCUCUUUCAGCUGGGAAGAUAAUGCCGGUACCAGCAGAAGAAGCCCCGGCUAACUCCGUG
rnacentral:rRNA from 1 species